rnacentral:tRNA from 1 species
AAGUAUUUAAUCUAAUAAAGAUAAUUGAUUUCGACUCAAUAAAUUAUGGUACUAUCCCAUAAGUACUU